rnacentral:lncRNA from 1 species
UCUUCAUCGGUUUGUCCCAGGAAGCCAGUAAGGAACCUGUCCAGGAGCUAAUUCUGCCUUUCCUAAGGAACCAUCACUGGCUGGAGCCCAAGAGCAGAGUACAGGCUAUGCUGUGCCCUGAGAAGAGAUGAGUACAUGCGCCCAGCCCAUGGAACACUGGGAGCAGCUCACACCAUCCGGAAACUCUUCCCUAUUUCAAAGCUGGAAUUCCUCCUUCCUUAAUGCGUCCCCCACUUCCUUUCCCCUUUUCCUCAUGUGGCUGUGUUCUUGCCAGCAAAGAAAGUUGAAAAGGAACAAAGGCAUAUGGUUUUCCUAUUAAGACUGACGCCCACGUGUGAG